rnacentral:rRNA from 1 species
AUGUCAUCGGAGUGGGAACUUCGGUUCCCGCUUGCGUGCCUGCAGGCCAUCACCCGCAUCGGCUUGGACCAUGUACCCCUACUUCUUUCCUCGAGUGAUGACCGACCUCGGCUGCCCCGACGGUUCCUCUUCGUGUCCUUUUGGCUCCGACAACCUGGGUUCAUUGAGGCGGUGAACAGUCACUGUAUGGCCACGCAGUUGGAGCCACAUCGUCAGAUGUCGGUUGUGGACAAGUGGCACUUCUUGGCCAAGCAAUCUAGACAAUUCAUAAAGGGUUGAGGUGCCAGUGUGGGGUGGGACCUCAAGAUCCGGAAGGGGGGCCUUCUCGCGGAGAUUUGGGUUUUGGACCUGAUGGCCAACACCGCAGGCCUCCCGGAGGAAUGGGCUCUCCGCUAUAUCUUAGAAGACGACUUACUGGAAAUCUAUCGCAAGGAGGAGGAAUAUUGGCCCUAAUGGGGUGCCAUUAACUAGGUCCUAUUCGGGGACGCCACCACAAUGUACUUCCGAACGAUUACCAAUGGCUGGCGUCAUAGAUGUACCAUUCCCCGUCUUUGGAAAGGGGAUCGGUUGAUCCAAGAUCCGGACAAGAUUCUGACUCAUGUGGAUGGCUUUUAUAAAGCCAUGUUUGCCGCAAGAGAUCGUGGUGGCAUAGCGCUUGCCGACUCUGUCUGGGAGGGGCCCUAGCGAGUCUCGCAGGAAUAGAAUAAUGGGACGCUAUUGGCAGAAUUCUCAGAAGAAGAGGUGGCUUCCAUAAUAAAAGGGAUGAAUCCCGCGUCGGCCUAGGGACCGGAUGGUCUCCCGGUCCGGUUCUUCCAGGUGUUGUGGCAUGCUAUUAAACACCAAAUCCUUGCGUUUUUUAGGGAAUUCUCUCAAGGCGUGCUCGACCUGACCCGGUUGAACUCUGGUAUCAUCUCUCUGAUCCCUAAGGUGCCAGGGGUGUCAGACAUCCGACAAUUCUGACCUAUCAUAGUGAUCAAUGUGAUAUUUCGGAUUCUUUCUAAAGGGUACGCCAAUAGGGCGACCCUUCUAGCUUCCCAAAUCACCCACCCGAACUAGUCCGCGUUCAUUAAGGGUCGGUAUAUCUUGGAUGGGAUCCCGGUACUCCAUGAGGUUAUUCAUGAAGUCAAGAGGAACAAAGCGGUCUUCUUUUAG